GAGGAAUGGAAGCAGUGACCCUAACUUUGACCAGGGACACAAAAGCACAAACCACUGUCAGACGAUGGAUCCAGUCCUGUUUAUGGAACCAAUUGAUCCACCUAACACAACUUGGAGCUUUGUGUGAUUCAAUUCAUCAUUGCUUACCUGUCUCCCUUUGAACGUCUCUUCUGGAGCUUCUUGCCUUUGGGUCUCCGCUCGCUGCCCAAACAGUGGAUACCUUCUGGUCCCGUGACUUGCUGAGACUCCAGGCCCUUGGA